rnacentral:lncRNA from 1 species
AAAGAACUUGGUGCUUUGUUGCUCCUUUUCAUUCUUGGGCCAGUCUAAAAUUGUAAUGAGUAAGUAUUCCUUGCUAAUAACUUUUACCAUGUUGUUCUUCUUCCAUUUCGCCACUCCAUGUGCUUUAUCUCCUGCCCUCCAACAGAAAAAGGAAAUGGCAAAAUAAAUUAUAAAUAAAAAAGGAAAGAGGACAAAUCAAUAGAAGAUAAGACAUUGUAUUAUGGAAAGGAAAUAAUGAAUGGAAACCCUGAUGAGACCAAUGCAAGUUUUGUAGUUAAAGCCUAUGUUCUUGGCCACUAAAUAAAUGAAUAAAAUGACUAAGAGCAUAAGUGUAGAAAAGCAGACAAGUGUGGUAACAGGUAUCAUGGAUAUAUUGAUAUCAUAUUUUACAACUGAAGGUGUGGAUAUUUGCUUCUGACAUUACAAUAUUUGCUUUACAAUUAUGACACUUGCAGGAAAUGAGAAGAA